UACGUAGGGUGCAAGCGUUGUCCGGAAUUAUUGGGCGUAAAGAGCUCGUAGGCGGUCUGUCGCGUCUGCUGUGAAAACUCAGGGCUUAACCCUGAGCUUGCAGUGGGUACGGGCAGACUAGAGUGCGGUAGGGGAGACUGGAAUUCUCGGUGUAGCAGUGAAAUGCGUAGAUAUCGAGAGGAACACCAGUGGCGAAGGCGAGUCUCUGGACAAUUCCUGACGCUGAGGCACGAAAGCUAGGGGAGCAAACAGG
rnacentral:rRNA from 1 species